UUCAGGCUUAGCUACUGCGCAUGCGUCUGGCCCUCUUGAGGUUCCCGGCGUGCCCCGCAACAGCUUCCGGCGUGCUCCGCAACGGCUUCCGGCAUGACGCAGUAGAGAAGAUGGCGUGGUAGGCGCGUCGCGCGCCUGAGGGCCUUUUGUGGUGAGGUGGGGCUUAAGGGUUGCGGCUCCGCUCUCUGUCCUGAGGCUCUUAGAUUGCACUCUGGGUUCCUGGACGCAAAAACUCGGAGUGGCUGCGUGAUGCAGAGUGAACUGGGUCCUCUGGGGACGCGUGGGGAACGAGGCAGCCCGGAGUGCCUGCCUUGUUGCCCUUCGGACCUCCAGUCCAUUCGGGUUCCCCAGUGAGGCCUCUUUUGAAGGGCUCGGUGGCGCUUGCCCUUCACGCUAAGAAAACACUCGUUUCCUAAAGCUCGACUGCGCCCUUGUGCUGAGCGGUGGGGACACGAAGACAGCACAGAAACAUGUUUACCCUCAGCGAGCCCCCGAACUGUUGGAGUGGAUAAACCCACCAGAAACAAAUUACAGCGUUAGGCGGGUUAAGAUGGAGCACCCUGAGAAACGUUACAGAGAGGACCGGAGAGUUCAGAGGAUCAGGAUGCUUCAAGAAGAUGGGGGUAGUGGUGUCAUCAGUCCUCAUCCUGGGGUUUUUGUCUUUGAUGGUGCACUCCUUGAGGACAUGAAAUUUUUCUUCGACGUUUCCAAUACCUAGGCUCAGGGGCCCUUCCCUGAUUGGUAGUGGUAGAGACCUGCUGUCUCUCGUGUUUAUUAUCUAUGGAAAGGAUGAAUUAGGUCUUGGCGACUUAAGGAGGGAAAAUUUUGAGUAGAGUUUUUAUCAGAACUAGCAGGAGGUGAUUCUUCAGAGUUGCAGCAACUGAAUUAGGACAAUAAUUGUAAGAGUGACAUCAUGGAAAGUGAGCAGUUCUUCUUGAAGGCCUAACUGAACUGGUCUGUUUAUAGGUGUACCCUCAAUUCUUGAAUGUUCUAACUUCUGGCAGCAGAACAACAAAAGGCAACCCUGGUCUUGGCCAGCUCAAACAGGAAGAAAGCAAAGUGCUAAGUACUCAGCCAGCAUAGGCUCAGGCUGUGAAAGGCAAGGCCAUGCUAGAGGAGGAGAGAGAAGAUAGACCUGGUCUGGAGGCCUAACCAGCAGUCUGACAAUGCAAAGUAGUGAAACUCCAUGGGAAAAGAUGACAUGAACUUAGUGAAAGAGGUUGGCAAAUGCAAAAUCAGGGCUCUAAAAUGCAAGAGGAAUAAUCUUUAAACUCCAUGAAAACCAAAACUCCUGGCUUGGAUAGGGUGACAUAUCAAGAUGAUGAUAAUGCCAGGAUCAGUGAC